rnacentral:rRNA from 1 species
CCUACGGGGGGCUGCAGUAGGGAAUAUUGGUAAUGUGCGAAAGCGCGAACCAGCAACGCCGCGUGCACGAUGAAGGCCUUCGGGUCGUAAAGUGCUUUUAGAGAGGAUGAGGAAGGACAGUACUUUCUGAAUAAGCCUCGGCUAACUACGUGCCAGCAGCCGCGGUAAAACGUAGGAGGCAAGCGUUAUCCGGAUUUACUGGGCGUAAAGCGCAUGCAGGUGGUUUUGUAAGUUGGAUGUGAAAGCUCCUGGCUUAACUGGGAGAGGUCGUUCAAAACUACAAGACUUGAGAUUGGUAGAGGAAAAUGGAAUUCCGGGUGUAGUGGUGAAAUGCGUAGAUAUCCGGAGGAACACCAGUGGCGAAAGCGGUUUUCUGGACCAAUUCUGACACUCAGAUGCGAAAGCUAAGGUAGCAAACGGGAUUAGAUACCCCGGUAGUC